GGGAUCACGACCAUUUUUGGGAAGAAAUUUGUCAACAACAAGAAGAUAUUUGAUGCAUUUAGAUAAUCUCAUAUUUCUCAAUCUUUGAGGUAAAAAAAAAGAUAUCUUCCUUUUCUCAAUCUCGCAAGUUGUCAGAUUCUUGAAUUUUUAGCAUAUUGGGGUGGUUGUUUUGGAACAAUUAGUUGUUGUUUUCAAGAUCAGGGAAAAAAUAUUAUCUGGGGGAAACGGUUGUAAACCCUACUUCUUUCGAUUUGGGGAAAAUAUUGGGGAAUUUGAGUCCGACCCAGAUGACAUGAGGAUUGGGAGGAGUUAAUUUUUAUUGAGAUUUGAUUGCCCAUGUAUGGAUCGAUCAUUGUCGACUUGGGUAAUCUUCAUAUUGGGGAUCUUCUUCUGUUUAUUUAGUCUUCCUGUGCAGUCGCAGGACAAUGUGAAUUCCCCUAACUUACAACCGCCGCCGCCUCCACCACCGC
rnacentral:misc_RNA from 1 species